ACCACAAGAUGAGAUUUCUUUAAAGGGUCGUGGGAGACUACCACGUUGAUAGGCUAUAGGUGUAAAGGCAGUAAUGUCAUAGCCGAGUAGUACUAAUAACCCAUAGGCUUAUGCGCA
rnacentral:rRNA from 1 species